rnacentral:misc_RNA from 1 species
GAUGAAGAACGUAGCGAAAUGCGAUAAGUAAUGUGAAUUGCAGAAUUCAGUGAAUCAUCGAAUCUUUGAACGCACAUUGCGCCCCUUGGUAUUCAGAGGGGCAUGCCUGUUCGAGCGUCAUUAUAACCCCUCAAGCUUAGCUUGGUGUUGGGGCCUGCUGUAAUAGAGCAGCCCUUAAAAUCAGUGGCGGUGCCAUUAGGCUCUAAGCGUAGUAAUUCUUCUCGCUAUAGGGUUCUGGUGGAUGCUUGCCAUUAACCUCUAAUUUUCUAUGGUUGACCUCGGAUCAGGUAGGGAUACCCGCUGAACUUAAGCAUAUCAAUAAGCGGAGG